GCGGUUGUGGCUCAGUGAUAGAGCACUUGCCUCGCAUGUGUGAGGCACUGAGUUCAAUCCUCAGCACCACA
rfam:Ictidomys tridecemlineatus contig044399, whole genome shotgun sequence.